GACGAACGCUGGCGGCGUGCUUAACACAUGCAAGUCGAACGGGAUCCGGGCUUUCGGGUUUGGUGAGAGUGGCGAACGGGUGAGUAACACGUGAGUAACCUGCCCCCUUCUUUGGGAUAACGUCGGGAAAUCGGCGCUAAUACUGGAUAUUCUUGCUGCAUCGCAUGGUGUGGUUUGGAAAGGGUUUCUGGUGGGGGAUGGGCUCGCGGCCUAUCAGCUUGUUGGUGGGGUGAUGGCCUACCAAGGCUUUGACGGGUAGCCGGCCUGAGAGGGUGUCCGGCCACACUGGGACUGAGACACGGCCCAGACUCCUACGGGAGGCAGCAGUGGGGAAUAUUGCACAAUGGGCGCAAGCCUGAUGCAGCGACGCCGCGGGAGGGAUGACGGCCUUCGGGUUGUAAACCUCUUUCAGUAUGGAACAAGGAUCCUUCGUUUGGGGGGUUUGAGGGUACGUGCAGAAGAAGCGCCGGCUAACUACGUG
rnacentral:rRNA from 1 species